rnacentral:rRNA from 1 species
UACGUAGGGUGCGAGCGUUAAUCGGAAUUACUGGGCGUAAAGCGUGCGCAGGCGGUAAUGUAAGACAGGUGUGAAAUCCCCGGGCUUAACCUGGGAACUGCAUUUGUGACUGCAUUGCUGGAGUGCGGCAGAGGGGGAUGGAAUUCCGCGUGUAGCAGUGAAAUGCGUAGAUAUGCGGAGGAACACCGAUGGCGAAGGCAAUCCCCUGGGCCUGCACUGACGCUCAUGCACGAAAGCGUGGGGAGCAAACAGG